AUCCUACGGGAGGCAGCAGUGGGGAAUAUUGCACAAUGGGCGCAAGCCUGAUGCAGCCAUGCCGCGUGUAUGAAGAAGGCCUUCGGGUUGUAAAGUACUUUCAGCAGUGAGGAAGGUGGGUAUGUUAAUAGCAUAUUCAUUUGACGUUAGCUGCAGAAGAAGCACCGGCUAACUCCGUGCCAGCAGCCGCGGUAAUACGGAGGGUGCGAGCGUUAAUCGGAAUUACUGGGCGUAAAGCGCAUGCAGGUGGUUGUUAAGUCAGAUGUGAAAGCCCGGGGCUCAACCUCGGAAUUGCAUUUGAAACUGGCAAACUAGAGUACUGUAGAGGGGGUAGAAUUUCAGGUGUAGCGGUGAAAUGCGUAGAGAUCUGAAGGAAUACCGGUGGCGAAGGCGGCCCCCUGGACAGAUACUGACACUCAGAUGCGAAAGCGUGGGGAGCAAACAGGAUUAGAUACCCUGGUAG
rnacentral:rRNA from 1 species